AGGUUACUGCUAUCGGUGUUCGCCUAAGCCAUGCGAGUCAUAUGUUCGUAAGAACAUGGCGUACUGCUCAGUAACACGUGGAUAACCUGCCCUUGGGUCCGGCAUAACCCCGGGAAACUGGGGAUAAUUCCGGAUAACGCACAUAUGCUGGAAUGCUUUAUGCGUAAAAUGGAUUCGUCUGCCCAAGGAUGGGUCUGCGGCCUAUCAGGUAGUAGUGGGUGUAAUGUACCUACUAGCCUACGACGGGUACGGGUUGUGAGAGCAAGAGCCCGGAGAUGGAUUCUGAGACAUGAAUCCAGGCCCUACGGGGCGCAGCAGGCGCGAAAACUUUACAAUGCGGGAAACCGUGAUAAGGGGACACCGAGUGCCAGCAUCCUAUGCUGGCUGUCCGGGUGUGUAAAAUACACCUGUUAGCAAGGGCCGGGCAAGACCGGUGCCAGCCGCCGCGGUAACACCGGCGGCCCGAGUGGUGAUCGUGAUUAUUGGGUCUAAAGGGUCCGUAGCCGGUUUGGUCAGUCCUCCGGGAAAUCUGACAGCUUAACUGUUAGGCUUUCGGAGGAUACUGCCAGACUUGGAACCGGGAGAGGUAAGAGGUACUACAGGGGUAGGAGUGAAAUCUUGUAAUCCCUGUGGGACCACCUGUGGCGAAGGCGUCUUACCAGAAUGGGUUCGACGGUGAGGGACGAAAGCUGGGGGCACGAACCGGAUUAGAUACCCGGGUAGUCCCAGCCGUAAACGAUGCUCGCUAGGUGUCAGGCAUGGCGCGACCGUGUCUGGUGCCGCAGGGAAGCCGUGAAGCGAGCCACCUGGGAAGUACGGCCGCAAGGCUGAAACUUAA
rnacentral:rRNA from 1 species